ACACGUAAACAACCUGCCUUCAGGAUGGGGACAACAGACGGAAACGACUGCUAAUACCGAAUAAGUUCCAAGAGCCGCAUGGCCCAUGGAAGAAAAGGUGGCCUCUACCUGUAAGCUAUCGCCUGAAGAGGGGCUUGCGUCUGAUUAGCUGGUUGGAGGGGUAACGGCCCACCAAGGCGACGAUCAGUAGCCGGUCUGAGAGGAUGAACGGCCACACUGGAACUGAGACACGGUCCAGACUCCUACGGGAGGCAGCAUG
rnacentral:rRNA from 1 species